AUGAUGUCAUCUUUAACUCCUUCUUCCUGUUUGAAUGUUGAAACUUUUCUUUUCCUCUCAGCUCCAACAAGCGUAAGUCCAUCGACGACAGCGAGAUGGAGAGCCCAGUGGACGAUGUCUUCUACUCGGGCCGAUCCCCCGCGGCAGGCAGCAGCUCUCAGUCCAGCGGGUGGCCCAACGACGUGGACGCAGUGCAGCACCAUUUGGCCAGUGUGCAGGAGAGGAAGAUUAAGCAUGAGAGCGAUGGAGUGCAGUUUCCUUACCAUGGUUAGAACCUUCAACAUUAUACCUGUGCUCAUGUGCUGUUCCUCUGUCGGUCUCCUCAGCAUUCCUCCACCUGUCCUGUCUCCUCUUCCUCUGCUCUAGUAUGUCCUUCUGCUGCUGGGGGUGUGUGUGAGGGGGGUGCUGUCUAUUGUGAGCUGUACAAAAUGUGUUGGUAGCCCAGUGGCUCCAUAGCAUCCACCUGUUUUCCUGCAUGAUGUUGUUGGGAUGAGUCAGAUUUCACGUUUUUCUCCGGAACUCACUCACUCGCUCACUCGCUCGCUCACUCACUAGAGGUGUGAAUCUUCACUUGUCUCCCGAUUCGAUUAUUGGGUCAACGAUUCAAUUUGAUUGGAUAUGCCGAUACAUAACGAUUAUUUCAUAUUGAUUUGUUUUCAUCGAUAAAUAGAAGAUGUCAGAUAAUUGCUUUUUAUUUUUUAUUUUUUUUAUCAAAAACGUAAUCGACCCAACCUGCCGUCCCUCAAAAGCUCUCCAUUCACAACAGGUUAGGACAAAACAUGUAAACAUUUAAGAAGAUUUAACAAAGUAAAACAUGUGUUUCCUGGUUCAACACCACGCCUCAGGCUGAGAAAAACACGCUUUCAAAAACUCACAAAGUCUAAAAGAGUACUGAAACCCUACAGGACACAUCAUGUAAUAAUAAAAUACAUAAUUGGGUUCAUAUAUGAGUGUUUAAUGUCUCU
ensembl:lncRNA